CAGCCUGAGAAACGGCUACCACAUCCACGGAAGGCAGCAGGUGCGAAAAUUGCCCAAUCCUAACCCAGGGAGGCAGUGACCAGAAAUAACGAUUAGCAGCCUCUAUAGGUUGUAAUUCGGAAUGAGUACAACGUAAAACUCUUAACAAUCACCAAGUGGAGGGCAAGCCUGGUGC
rnacentral:rRNA from 1 species